CUGCAUUUAUUUGCAAUUAUAAUAUUACAGUAAGAGGCAAAGUAAAGGAAAACAGCUGAUCAGAGACAAACACGGUGACAAUUAACCAUGUCCUCUUUCAGAAAACCAAUCAAGAUAGACUUUAAUGAUAUGAUAAAGAAUGGAUUAGUCAUAAAGGAACCAUAGGGAUUGUUAUGCAAAUUUCUUGACGUUUACAUUUUAAUUCUU